CUUUUUUUAAUUAAAGUAUUUUUUUUAGACAAGGUCUCAUUAUAUAGCCUUGGCUAGCCUGGAACUCAUUAUGUAGACUAGGAUAGCCAUGAACUCAGAGAUCAGCCUGCCUCUUCCUCUCAAGUACUGUGAUUAAAGGUGUGCACUACCACACUUUCCAUUUCUUCAGACAGAUUUCUUUGUGUAACUUAUUAAAAUACUUGAAGAAUUUUGCAUAAAAACAAAGUAAGCAUUUAAACAUUUGAAAUCACACACACACACAAAAACAAGCAAUAAGGAAUUAGUCACAUAGUUAACAAAAAGUAAAAAUAAAAGUAUAUCCACAAUAAGGAAAUAAUAUGGUUAUAAGAUUCAUAUGGUUAAAGAGUGUAUGUGUAGCAAAGCAUUUAUAGUCAUAGCCUGGCUCAAAUCUCACCAAAUCUCACCUCAAGAAAGGUUUUUUUUUUAUAAACGUAUUAAUUUAAUUUAAUACUUAAUUUUGUUUUGAAACUUGAAGCUGAGCAGGACACUAUAUAGUAGUUCUGAGAUUAACAAAAAUUUAUUCUACAUUAUGAGACCAUAUCGAUAAGUUCAGAAGAAGAAAAUAAUGUAUGGUUUGUGGAAAUCUACCACGACUGAAUAAUGCUCCUCUGUCAGGAGACUUUUAGAAAGAAGCUUCACUGGUAUUCAUAAGCAAGUGUGUGACUGGUACAUAGUGAGAAAGGAAGAUUAGUGUUCCACUUCCAUAAUAGCUACAUUAUCUUGUUAAAGAACUGGUCUUGGGUUUUCUUUUCUGUACCCAUUUCUUUUUACUUACACACUACAGAUAUUUUUAAAUAUCCUUUUAAAUUGUUUAACUACAUCUCAUAGUAUAUAAGCUAUAAUACUGGUUAAGUUUAGAAUGAUGUGUUUGUGGAACUAUGUAUCUCCUUUUAUAAUGCAUUUACAGUUGCCUAGCAAGCCCUUCAUUCUAGAAGGGAACCGUGGAGAUACAUGGCGUAAACUUUCAUUUUACUGUAGCUUAAUCAUUGGUAUCACAUGACUUUUACAGUCACUUUUCUUGAGCAGAUUUUCCAUAAGUACUAGGAGAGUCACUGUGAAUCAGCUUUGUUACAACAAUGUGAUUCCAAAUGUGAAUCAUUACUGAGUUCUCUUGGAUCUUUGCAACUGGAACUUGGGGGCUGAUGGCGUGUGUCAGGAAGACAGAAAAAGAUGGCGCCACGUCAGAUCUGAUUUCCUGGGUCUGCACUUAAAGAUUAUCUGUUGAAGAAUGAUUCUUCCCCAUGUCCUCUCCAGAGCCACAUCUGUCACUUCUCCAGAGGCUUAGAAGGCCCUAUUUCACCACUGCCACACAGAAAAAGACAAAACUCAAGAAAAAUAACAUCACAAGGCAAACUGCUCUACAAGACAACAUCAUGCUUAGAGCCUCACUUCAGGUUGUCCCCUACGUACCCACUAUUACCAGUCACCUUACCAGGCGUCACAGAUGACGGAUGACGAAGGAGCACCGCCUCACACGAUCUUUAUCAUGUGUGUGUCCUAAGCUGAAAAGGCACUUCUUUGUAGAUGGAACUCGUGUCUUCAUGAAUCUGGAAAAAACCUCGAUCCUAAAUGUGUGAACUUUCAAAGACAGAAGCAGCAGGCAAGUACUCCAGCCUGAGCCAUUGUCCCCACAGCCCAAGGAAGGGCGAGAGCGAGCGGAGGCAGGGGAGUGGUGGAUGUUUUCCAUCCCCCUUAAUUUUACAAGCUAAGUAACUUUUUUGUCUGUUUUUUCUUUCUUUUUCCUUUAGGGUUUAUUUAUUUAUUACGUAUACAGUGUUCUGUCUGCAGGUCAGAAGAGGGCAUCAGAUCUCAUUAUUGUGAGCCACCAUGUGGUUGCUGGGAAUCGAACUCAGGACCUCUGGAAGAGCAGCCAGUGCUCUUAACCUCUGAGCCAUCUCUCCAGCCCAAGCUAAGUAACUUUUACCUGAACCCUGUCUUGUUAAAGACAAUUAACUGUACAUUCUACUUGGAGAAACCUGUGCUACCCUGUAGCUAAAUUCCCCCAAACCACGCAUACUAUGUAGUAUGAAACAGAAAACAUCAUCAAACAUGCCUUUUUCAAAUUGUCA